GAAGGUGGCCUGUGAGGGUUGCUGGAGGUAUCAGAAGUGCGAAUGCUGACAUAAGUAACGAUAAAGCGGGUGAAAAGCCCGCUCGCCGGAAGACCAAGGGUUCCUGUCCAACGUUAAUCGGGGCAGGGUGAGUCGACCCCUAAGGCGAGGCCGAAAGGCGUAGUCGAUGGGAAACGGGUUAAUAUUCCCGUACUUGGUGUUACUGCGAAGGGGGGACGGAGAAGGCUAUGUUGGCCGGGCGACGGUUGUCCCGGUUUAAGCGUGUAGGUGUGUGUUCCAGGUAAAUCCGGUUCACUUUAACACUGAGGCGUGACGACGAGGCACUACGGUGCUGAAGCAACAAAUGCCCUGCUUCCAGGAAAAGCCUCUAAGCAUCAGGUAACAUCAAAUCGUACCCCAAACCGACACAGGUGGUCAGGUAGAGAAUACCAAGGCGCUUGAGAGAACUCGGGUGAAGGAACUAGGCAAAAUGGUGCCGUAACUUCGGGAGAAGGCACGCUGACACGUAGGUGAAGUGAUUUACUCAUGGAGCUGAAGUCAGUCGAAGAUACCAGCUGGCUGCAACUGUUUAUUAAAAACACAGCACUGUGCAAACACGAAAGUGGACGUAUACGGUGUGACGCCUGCCCGGUGCCGGAAGGUUAAUUGAUGGGGUCAGCGCAAGCGAAGCUCCUGAUCGAAGCCCCGGUAAACGGCGGCCGUAACUAUAACGGUCCUAAGGUAGCGAAAUUCCUUGUCGGGUAAGUUCCGACCUGCACGAAUGGCGUAAUGAUGGCCAGGCUGUCUCCACCCGAGACUCAGUGAAAUUGAACUCGCUGUGAAGAUGCAGUGUACCCGCGGCAAGACGGAAAGACCCCGUGAACCUUUACUAUAGCUUGACACUGAACAUUGAGCCUUGAUGUGUAGGAUAGGUGGGAGGCUUUGAAGCGUGGACGCCAGUCUGCGUGGAGCCGACCUUGAAAUACCACCCUUUAAUGUUUGAUGUUCUAACGUGGACCCGUUACCCGGGUUGCGGACAGUGUCUGGUGGGUAGUUUGACUGGGGCGGUCUCCUCCUAAAGAGUAACGGAGGAGCACGAAGGUUGGCUAAUCCUGGUCGGACAUCAGGAGGUUAGUGCAAUGGCAUAAGCCAGCUUGACUGCGAGCGUGACGGCGCGAGCAGGUGCGAAAGCAGGUCAUAGUGAUCCGGUGGUUCUGAAUGGAAGGGCCAUCGCUCAACGGAUAAAAGGUACUCCGGGGAUAACAGGCUGAUACCGCCCAAGAGUUCAUAUCGACGGCGGUGUUUGGCACCUCGAUGUCGGCUCAUCACAUCCUGGGGCUGAAGUAGGUCCCAAGGGUAUGGCUGUUCGCCAUUUAAAGUGGUACGCGAGCUGGGUUUAGAACGUCGUGAGACAGUUCGGUCCCUAUCUGCCGUGGGCGCUGGAGAACUGAGGGGGGCUGCUCCUAGUACGAGAGGACCGGAGUGGACGCAUCACUGGUGUUCGGGUUGUCAUGCCAAUGGCACUGCCCGGUAGCUAAAUGCGGAAGAGAUAAGUGCUGAAAGCAUCUAAGCACGAAACUUGCCCCGAGAUGAGUUCUCCCUGAGACUU
rnacentral:rRNA from 1 species